rnacentral:tRNA from 1 species
AGGGAGACCUCCCGACUCAAAGCCGAAAGCACACAGCAAUUAAGCGAGAGUUGGUCAUCCCAAGGUCGUGCGAGUUAUAGAGUUAAGGCGGCUUUCAAACUAUUACCUAGGUGAGGGGCAUGGGCUAUUAGCUCAGGUGGUUAGAGCGCACCCCUGAUAAGGGUGAGGUCCCUGGUUCGAGUCCAGGAUGGCCCACCACAUCAAGUUGGGGGGUAUGGCUCAGUUGGUAGAGCGCCUGCUUUGCAAGCAGGAUGUCAGCGGUUCGAGUCCGCUAACCUCCACUGGUCAAUGCUUGUUAGCAUUUUCUGCUGAGCAUUGGUCCAAGCGACAGGAGCAUUCAGCAACUCAUCUAGCCUUGUCUAGAGAGACUGCUGGCUUUGUUCCAGCCAGAACCUUGAAAACUGCAUAGUAACUUGUCAGGUAGAAAGAGCGCGUAGCGAUGCCUGUUUGGUAUUCAGCUUUCAAACGGCUGCAUGCUGAGCGAUGUAC